UACGUAGGUGGCAAGCGUUGUCCGGAUUUACUGGGUGUAAAGGGCGCGUAGGCGGGAUAGCAAGUCAGGUGUGAAAUCCGGGGGCUUAACCCUCGAACUGCACUUGAAACUGUUAUUCUUGAGUGAUGGAGAGGCAAGCGGAAUUCCUAGUGUAGCGGUGAAAUGCGUAGAUAUUAGGAGGAACACCAGUGGCGAAGGCGGCUUGCUGGACAUUAACUGACGCUGAGGCGCGAAAGCGUGGGGAGCAAACAGG
rnacentral:rRNA from 1 species